GAAACAAAUAGCUCAGUUGGUAGAGCAUGAUACUCCUAAUCUCAGGGUCAUCGGUUUGAGCCCCAUGUUGGGCA